rnacentral:ncRNA from 1 species
AACAGGGGUGCUGUAAAAGGCUGAGACGGAGUUUAUCCGAACCCUUUAACCUGAUAUGGGUAAUACCGGCGUAGGGAGUUUA